AAUAUCCAAUUCUAGCACUUCGAGGUAAAUUACUAUAACAACACUGACGCAGCAGACGGAAAAUCUAUCGGAUCUGAUUCAUAGCGUGCAAAAACAAUCUGAGAACUCCCAGCUACUAGGUGAUACAAGCAGCAAUGAUGGCAAUCGAUCAUGUGUAGAGGUGGUCUGAAUCUUCACUACCAGGCCACUCGACUGAGUUGCAGUUAAUGUAUGUAGAAAUAUCAUCUUCGGAUGCCGAACUGCUACUGCGAGUGCGGACUACAUGCGUGUAUUACGGGGACGCGAAGGUGCGAGGUAAUGUAGGGCAGGUAAUGCCACCCCGAACAAUGCGCGACGGCCAAUAUUUGAGCUUAAUCGAUCACUUGUUCUCUGGUCUUGCUACUGCGACCCUUCCAGACCUGCUGCGGGCGCCUUCUACCUUCGCUCCAGCCGACCGACGCUUGACUGAGAUAGAUCAUAACAGCCGCAGCAGAGAUCCGAAAAAGAGGGUUCUUGUCAGGGCCUUUCGUCGUGCCGACUAACUACACCAAACCCCAACGGCAAUAAAAAGAUUAUCGAUGAAUGGCGACGCGACGAUCUCUUCUACUGGCUCCGCGUUCGAAACCAAAGCUCAGAUGGAGUUGUGCAAUAUUCACAGAGUUCCCGCGCGCAAAAUUUGCUCUGUCAACUGGCACAGGACACUACACCAACUUUAAGAUAAACAUGGGCAACUGU